CCUUGGGUAAAAAAAGGCAGAGUACCAGUGGUUAAAGACACACAAAAUGUGGACCUCAAAACAAAUGGCUACAUUUGCUCAUGAGGAAGAUGAUAACGAAGAGGAUGAGACUCCUUCAAACCAUAAGGUGAAUAUGCAACCCGGUAUCACCCCAAAUUAGAUAGUGGAUGAUUCACACUCAACUGCAAAGCAAUGAAAGAACACAUCUGUCACUAAAUUGAACCCAGUCACCUUGGAUUAUGCCCAAAAGUGUGAGAAUUACAAGAAACUCACCAGAACUGUGAUGGACUCCAUUUCCACCUUAGAAAAAAUGACAACAUGCUCCGUCACAGGAAAAAAAGGGACCACUGGUGAACAAAGACAGAGUCCUGACAGAGAAAGUGAAGCUAGUAAUAGGGAGCCUGCUGGAAGAGAAUCUGAGGACUGAUGCACAUAUAACAAUGGACAUGCAUAAAGACACAUCUCUCUCUCUCUCUCUCUCUCCCACAUACACACACACUCAGAUAUACAGUUGUUGUUGUAUGGACAGCAUUUUAUUGAUACUUGUUUUUUUAUGAAUAUGUUUGGAUACUUCUUAAAAUUUGCUGUAUGUUUGCAAAUAAAUUCUCCAUUUGAAUCAGUUUUUCCUUACAGUAAAAUGUGUCUUAUGUCAAAGUCACAUCAUGGUGCCUUUAUUUUAUA